UGGGGAAUAUUGCACAAUGGGCGAAAGCCUGAUGCAGCAACGCCGCGUGAGUGAUGAAGGCCUUCGGGUUGUAAAGCUCUGUCUUUUGGGACGAUAAUGACGGUACCAAAGGAGAAAGCCACGGCUAACUACGUGCCAGCAGCCGCGGUAAUACGUAGGUGGCAAGCGUUGUCCGGAUUUACUGGGCGUAAAGGAUGCGUAGGCGGAUUUUUAAGUGAGAUGUGAAAACCCUAAGCUUAACUUGGGGACUGCAUUUCAUACUGGAAAUCUAGAGUGCGGGAGAGGAGAAUGGAAUUCCUAGUGUAGCGGUGAAAUGCGUAGAGAUUAGGAAGAACACCAGUGGCGAAGGCGAUUCUCUGGACCGUAACUGACGCUGAGGCAUGAAAGCGUGGGUAGCAAACAGGAUUAGAUACCCUGGUAGUCCACGCCGUAAACGAUGAGUACUAGGUGUAGGAGGUAUCGACCCCUUCUGUGCCGCAGUUAACACAAUAAGUACUCCGCCUGGGAAGUACGAUCGCAAGAUUAAAACUCAAAUGAAUUGACGGGGUCAUAGCUGUUUUCCU
rnacentral:rRNA from 1 species